GGACUACUGGGGUAUCUAAUCCUGUUUGCUCCCCACGCUUUCGUAGUUUAGUGUCAGUUCCCAUCCAGGUCGCCGCCUUCGCCUCUGGUGUUCCUCCCGAUCUCUACGCAUUUCACCGCUACACCGGGAAUUCCACGACCCUCUCUGGGACUCUAGUCUUACCGUUUCUGAGGCACUUCUUGAGUUAAGCCCAAGGAUUUCACCCCAGACAAAUAAGACCACCUACCUACCCUUUACGCCCAAUAAUUCCGAGCAACGCUUGCACCCUCCGUAUUACCGCGGCGGCUGGCAC
rnacentral:rRNA from 1 species